CGCGGUAAUACGUAGGUGGCAAGCGUUGUCCGGAUUUACUGGGCGUAAAGGAUGUGUAGGCGGAUACUUAAGUGAGAUGUGAAAGCCCCGGGCUUAACCUGGGGACUGCAUUUCAAACUGGGUAUCUAGAGUGCAGGAGAGGAAAGCGGAAUUCCUAGUGUAGCGGUGAAAUGCGUAGAGAUUAGGAAGGACAUCAGUGGCGAAGGCGGCUUUCUGGACUGUAACUGACGCUGAGGCAUGAAAGCGUGGGGAGCAAACAGGAUUAGAUACCCUGGUAGUCCACGCCGUAAACGAUGAGUACUAGGUGUAGGAGGUAUCGACUCCUUCUGUGCCGCAGUUAACACAAUAAGUACUCCGCCUGGGAAGUACGGUCGCAAGAUUAAAACUCAAAGGAACUGACGGGGGCCCGCACAAGCAGCGGAGCAUGUGGUUUAAUUCGAAGCAACGCGAAGAACCUUACCUAGACUUGACAUCUCCUGAAUAGCGUAGAGAUACGUGAAGCCCUUCGGGGCAGGAAGACAGGUGGUGCAUGGUUGUCGUCAGCUCGUGUCGUGAGAUGUUGGGUUAAGUCCCGCAACGAGCGCAACCCUUAUCAUUAGUUGCUACCAUUAAGUUGAGCACUCUAGUGAGACUGCCCGGGUUAACCGGGAGGAAGGCGGGGAUGACGUCAAAUCAUCAUGCCCCUUAUGUCUAGGGCUACACACGUGCUACAAUGGUGAGAACAACGAGAUGCAAUACCGCGAGGUGGAGCCAAACUUGAAAACUCAUCCCAGUUCGGAUUGCAGGCUGAAAUUCGCCUGCAUGAAGUUGGAGUUGCUAGUAAUCGCGAAUCAGAAUGUCGCGGUGAAUACGUUCCCGGGCCUUGUACACACCGCCCGUCACACCAUGAGAGCUGGUAACACCCGAAGU
rnacentral:rRNA from 1 species